rnacentral:sRNA from 1 species
AACAUUCUUUUGAGUUGACAUCUAACACAUCAAAACUAAAUGGCUUCACCAUCUACAGCACUGACUCCAGCAACAGUAGUGUAGAGUUCACUGUGGUCAUAGAGCAAGUGGGUUUGUCUCUCUUGAUACAGGUAACAGAGGAAAAACUGCUGAACAUAAUGGUCAUUGCUUCAUCAGGACUAAAAGACAAACUUGAAGGACUUCUGGGAAAUUUUAAUGGAAAUCCACAA